rnacentral:rRNA from 1 species
CCUACGGGUGGCAGCAGUCGAGAAUCAUUCACAAUGGGGGAAACCCUGAUGGUGCGACGCCGCGUGGGGGAAUGAAGGUCUUCGGAUUGUAAACCCCUGUCAUGUGGGAGCAAAUUAAAAAGAUAGUACCACAAGAGGAAGAGACGGCUAACUCUGUGCCAGCAGCCGCGGUAAUACAGAGGUCUCAAGCGUUGUUCGGAAUCACUGGGCGUAAAGCGUGCGUAGGCUGUUUCGUAAGUCGGGUGUGAAAGGCGAGGGCUCAACCCGCGGACGGCACAUGAUACUGCGAGACUAGAGUAAUGGAGGGGGAGCCGGAAUUCUCGGUGUAGCAGUGAAAUGCGUAGAUAUCGAGAGGAACACUCGUGGCGAAGGCGAGUUCCUGGACAUUAACUGACGCUGAGGCACGAAGGCCAGGGGAGCGAAAGGGAUUAGAUACCCGGGUAGUC